AGCGAACAUUGGCGGUAGGCUUAACACAUGCAAGUCGAGCGAGGCGUAAUAGUCGAGCGGCGAACGGGUGAGUAAUACAUGGGAAUCUACCUCGAGGUGGGGGAUAACAGCCAGAAAUGGCUGCUAAUACCGCAUAAUCCGGGAACGGGAAAGCGCGCUGCGCUUUGAGAUGAGCCCAUGGCUGAUUAGCUAGUUGGUGGGGUAAAGGCCUACCAAGGCGACGAUCAGUAGCUGGUCUGAGAGGAUGAGCAGCCACACUGGAACUGAGACACGGUCCAGACUCCUGCGGGAGGCAGCAGUGGGGAAUCUUGCGCAAUGGGGGCAACCCUGACGCAGCCAUACCGCGUGUGCGAUGAAGGUCUUCGGAUUGUAAAGCACUUUCAGUAGGGACGACGAUGACGGUACCUACAGAAGAAGUCACGGCUAACUUCGUGCCAGCAGCCGCCGUAA
rnacentral:rRNA from 1 species